AACGAACGCUGGCGGCAUGCCUAACACAUGCAAGUCGAACGAGACCUUCGGGUCUAGUGGCGCACGGGUGCGUAACGCGUGGGAACCUGCCUUUAGGUUCGGAAUAACUCAGAGAAAUUUGAGCUAAUACCGGAUGAUGUCUUCGGACCAAAGAUUUAUCGCCUUUAGAUGGGCCCGCGUUGGAUUAGCCAGUUGGUGGGGUAAAGGCCUACCAAGGCGACGAUCCAUAGCUGGUCUGAGAGGAUGAUCAGCCACACUGGGACUGAGACACGGCCCAGACUCCUACGGGAGGCAGCAGUGGGGAAUAUUGGACAAUGGGCGAAAGCAUGAUCCAGCAAUGCCGCGUGAGUGAUGAAGGCCUUAGGGUUGUAAAGCUCUUUUACCCGAGAUGAUAAUGACAGUAUCGGGAGAAUAAGCUCCGGCUAACUCCGUG
rnacentral:rRNA from 1 species